rnacentral:tRNA from 1 species
GGCUCUGUGGCGCAAUGGAUAGCGCAUUGGACUUCUAAUUCAAAGGUUGUGGGUUCGAGUCCCACUAGAGUCG